rnacentral:lncRNA from 10 species
UGCAUGGACCACAGCAAUGGGCUCCCUUCUCUGCUGCUUCCAAGUUAUGUUCCCUGCCAGUGGUUGGAGGUCAGGGCAGGGAAGAAUAAAGUUGGGCUCCAUCUGUGGGAUGACCCAGGGUGGCUGCAUCUCUCUCAGGAAGGUCACAGCUCCUUCACAUUCUACACAGCCUCUCCUGUCUCCAGAUUCUGGAAACCUCUUUCUUCUCUAACUCUGCACAGGGCCCCACUAACCCUAGAGAGCUGCACUAUCCUUUGUGGCUUUCUUUACUUCACCCACACCUUUAUAAACAUUUCCUGUAUUAAACUUUCUUCGAAUUA